GACAGAGGGUGCAAACGUUGUUCGGAAUUACUGGGCGUAAAGCGCGUGUAGGCAGCGACUGCAAGUCGGGUGUGAAAGCCCUGGGCUCAACCUAGGAAGUGCACUCGAAACUGCAGGGCUUGAGUUCUGGAGAGGAAGGCGGAAUUCUCGGUGUAGAGGUGAAAUUCGUAGAUAUCAGGAGGAACACCGGUGGCGAAGGCGGAUCUCUGGGCCGAGUACUGACGCUGAGGAGCGAAAGCGUGGGGAGCGAACCGG
rnacentral:rRNA from 1 species